GCCAGGUGCGGUGGAGCACGCCUGCAAUCCAAGUGGCUCGGAGGCUGAGACAGGAUUGAGAGUUCCAAGUCAGCUGAGCAGCUCAGGGAGACCCUGUCUCUA
rnacentral:sRNA from 1 species